GAAUGACCUUGAUGGUUUUGAGGCGUAUGGGUGGGGAUAUUUUAUUUUAUUUUAUUUUAUUUAUGGUUGCACUUGUGGCAUAUGGAAGUUCCGGGCUAGGGUCAAAUCAGAGCCCUAGCUGAGGCCGGCAGCGCAGCCAUGGAAACACCAGAUCUGAGCUGAAUCUGCAACCCACGCUGCAACUUACAGCAAUGCUGGAUCCUUAACCCGCUGAGCAAGGCCAGGGAUCCAGCCCACAUCCUCACAGAAACAAUGUCAGGUCCUUAACCCACUGAGCCACCAUGGGAACUCGGGGAUUUUUUAGAAUGUUCUUCCACAUGGGAUUGUCAGAUUUUUUCUCACUGCUGGACUGGGUAGUUACAUUUUAAUAAUGAAGGAGAACUGUCAGAAUGGAAUGCACAGUCAGCUGCAUUCCACUUUCCACUAAAGUAGGAAGGAAAGGAAAGUUUUUGAGUGUCACUCCUGGGCUAAUAACAUAGGGCCAUCACUCAGUUCCCAGGCUAGGGGUCGAAUCGGAGCUGUAGCCGCCGGCCUACGCCAGAGACACAGCAACGUGGGAUCUGAGCCGCGUCUGCAACCUACACCACAGCCCACGGCAACGCUGGAUCGUUAACCCACUGAGCAAGGCCAGGGAUUGAACCCUCAACCUCAUGGUUCCUAGUUGGAUUCGUUAACCACUGCGCCACGACCGGAACUCCUGGGUCAUUUCUUUUUAAAAAACAUUAUGUUUUAAUUUUUUUGUCUGCGCCCUUGACACGUGGAAGCUCCAGGGCCGGGCACUGAAUCCAAGCCACAGCAGGGACAAUGCCAGAUCCUUGAUCUGCUGAACCAGAAGGAAACUCCAUGUUUUAUUUUUUUUUCUCAAGUUCAAAUUUACCUUUUUUUUUUUUUUUGCCACAGUGUGCAGCUGCUUGAUGUGACAUCUCAGUUCUCAAGUCAGGGGUUGACCCCAGGCCUCAGCGGAGAAAGCACCAAAUUCUAACCACUAGAGCACUAAGGAACUCCUUAUGUUUAAACCAUUUCCAUCUCUGGUGCUACAUAAAGACACACACGUGCGUAUGUAUAAAAACACAUGCGUGUGUGUGUGUGUGUGUAUAAUCGAUUGUAGUCUUAAAUCUUAGAAACAACUCAUCUUGGUUCGUUCCAAUCUUUUCUUAAUUUUACAAAAGGUUCAAAAGCCUUAAGUGACUUGCUGGAGGCUGCCCAUUAAAUUGCACCAGAGUCAGUAUUUGUUUAUUUAUUUUUAAGGCUGCACUCAUUGUAUAUGGAAUCUCCUGGGCUGGGGGUUCAAAUCGGAGCUGCAGCUGCUGGCUUACACCACAGCCACAGAGCUGAGCCACCUCCAUGACCUACACUGCAGCUCCCAGCAAUGCCAGAUCCUUUAAUCCACUGAGCGAGGCCAGGAGCCAAACCUGUGGCCUCACGGAUACUAGUUGGGUUCGUUAUUGCCGAGCCACAAUGGGAACUCUCAGAGUCAGUGUUUAACACCCCCCUCCACGUGUCCUCAGAGCUGGAACUUCCAGUUCUGCACAGUUUUGUCCCUGUCAGCUCCAUCCUCGGGUCACUUCUGACCAGGGACCAUCAUGGUCAGAAGUCUCAUAAGAUCUAUUAAGCCUUUGUCCUUUCCCAAAGUUUGCUUUUUUUUUUUUUUUUUUUUUUUUUUUUUUUUUUUCCUUAUCUUCUGUUUUCCCUUUGAUGGUCAGUGCUAAAACUCCUAAAGCGGAAAAAAAAAAAAAUAGGGCUUGUGCUAUGGCUUUCAGAGACAGUCUGGAAGAAGCAGGCUGGGGAGCCUCCAUCCCACUCUGCAACCUAGGACAGCAACCCCCUUAGGGAAAGAGUGGGGAGCAGCAGCUUUAAAAGUAGAAGGAAAAUAGCUGAACCCCCUAGAGACCAGCAGGAACCAAGCCUGAGACUGAAAAGGGACCCUGGAGCCUCUGUAUAUUUCUGUCAUGUAACCGAGGUGCUUUUUGAAAUACAUCUGCUCACGAGGAUGGGAUCUUAAAAUAAGAGCGACACUGCUAAUAAUAACAGCGAACAUAAUUUUCAGCGCACCCCUUCCCCUUUCUUUGUUUAUCUUCAUUGGUUUUUCUCCCCCUCCAGACACUCCCAGCUCAUCUGGGGGCAGAGGGAGUGCAGUGCCUGACCGAAACCUUCACGAUUAUCCAUUUAUUGAUCAGCUUCCAUAACCCCCCCUCCUAGUCUUCUAAAGUUGCCUGCAAUCUGAUGUCCUGAUUACUCCCUUAUUAGGUUUUGCUUUGGAUGGAAUUACUAAGCCAAAUUGAAAUUCAUGGUUGUUAUGAACCAUUUCCAAGACGUCACUCAAAAGCAAGUCAAGAGAUGCUUCUUGCCUGCUUCUGCCCGUUAGAUGUUGGAUCCAGAUUCACAUGCCAUGCUCUGCCCGUUCAUGUGAGGUUGUUGCUUUAUUUAUGACCUUUCCUUGGUAUGUUGCAGUCUAUUUCUGUGGUCGCAUUUUCACCAACUUAUAUCAAAUUCUGACUCUCACCUUGCACGGCUGUGGAAGCUGCAUGUCUGCAUUACUUUAUUUAGCAGAUACCUGGACCAACGAUCAUUCCUUUGCCUUUUCCUCUCGCCCUGGACAAGGUGGAGGAGAGUGAGUACAGCCAGGACCUUCUCUAGGCUUAUUUUUAAAUAAAGCCUCCUUAAAAUGUGGAAGAUAUCAUCUCCUUCCUCAGGAGGCUGGCAGCUGUCUGGCUCAGGGACACAAUUACAGCUUUGUCAUUAAGACUGGAAGUCACCAAUCAGUUCCUCCAUCUCCUCUCCCCAGCGUAGGCUGAUGGAAAUUCAUUUACUGGAUCAGCAUGGAGGACAGCAUAACCUCUUAGGAGUUCUGAGAAGCGAGAGUUCAGAAGUGCACGCAUGUCAAGGGGAGACCACCUCGGGUUGCUUUUCCCAGAAGUUCCUGUAUUUUUCUCUUGCUUGUCAUCCGCCCAGCAUCCUGACCUCAACAGAGGCUUAAUUGUGUGGGUCUCAGGUGAUGUGGCUUCAGGGCAAGGAGGGGACAGUUCUCUAGGGCGGGACCAAUGUAGGAGUUGAAGUCAGAGAGUCCUCAGUUCCAGUUCCUGCACCAUGACAUAUGACCUUAGCUGCAGGACUUUGGGCAAAUUAUGUCGUAUCCUGAAACCCCCAUUUUCUCACAUGUAAACUGGGAGAUAAAAUACUUAGCCCAUAGUGUUCCUGGGAGGAGCAAGCCUAUCAGUAAGUGACAGAUACCUAGUAUUUGUGGUUAC
rnacentral:lncRNA from 1 species